rnacentral:lncRNA from 1 species
AUGUCCUGGCCCAACAAAGAAAGCUCACAAGCAGCUCUGCCUUUGAGGAAACCGAGAAGUCUGUUGAAAUCUAUACUAAAAGAUCGUCAGGCGGGACAAGCAGCUGGAGGUACGGAUGCUUUGGGGACGCAAGGUGACCAGCUAGGAGAUGGGAGUCCCCGAAGAUCCCGUGUCAGAAGUGACACUCAGGAGGUCGGCGUCGUGGCAGGUGCGUCCCCGCCGGGCUGCUGCUAUGGAAAUCUGCAACACCUUCUUCUCCUUCUCUGGGCUUUGGAGGGUCACAAGUUUGCAAGGUUUCCACCAGUUUACGGUGAGGUUAGGAAGAAGCCUGGAGAAGCCCAAACCUUGUCGUUUGUCUUGGAAAAGGGCCGAAGAGGCGUAAGGGGCACAUGCCGGGUUGCCGCCCGCCUGGGCAUUUCCUUAGGUCGUUUGCACAAACAGCAAGACGGGCGUUAUCGUUAUAGGAUAUGUGGCAAAAGGAAACCGAGGCUCAGGGAAGCCCGUGACUUGCCCAAGGUCCACAGCGAGGAGGCCAAGGGCUGCACGCGUGAGGAUGGGGACCGUGGCUUCCGUGGAGUGUUGGAGGGGCCCAGGGCCCAGCGUGGACUCUACCGAGGGGCAGCACGUCUUUCCUGUCGCUGCUGUAACAAAUCACAGCGUAAACAACACAAAGUUAUUCCCUUACCAUUCUGGAGGACAGAAGUCCGACAUGGCUCUCAUCGGGCUAAAAUCAGAAGAAGGCGUCAGCGGUCAGCAGGGUGCAUUCCCUUUGGACAGGGAAAAGUCUGUGCCCCUUUCCAGCUUCUAGAAGCAGCCUGUGUUCCUUCGCGGUCGGCUCCUCUCUCCAUCUUCGGAGUCAGCACUUCCGCAUCCUCCAAUCUCUACCUGAAAAAUGUUCAUUUAUUUAUUUUGAGUGUGGGGGGGAGGGGGCAGAGAGGGAGGGAGAGAGAAUCCCCAGCGGGCUCUGCGCUGUUAGAGCAGAGCCCCGGGUGGGGCUCCAACUCGUGA